AGAACGAACGCUGGCGGCAUGCCUAACACAUGCAAGUCGAACGCGUGGAGCAAUCCACGAGUGGCGGACGGGUGAGUAACGCGUGGGAACCUGCCCUGGAGUGUGGGAUAACCGAGGGAAACUUCGGCUAAUACCGCAUACGACCUGAGGGUGAAAGAUUUAUCGCUCUAGGAGGGGCCCGCGUCGGAUUAGCUAGUUGGUGGGGUAAAGGCCUACCAAGGCAGUGAUCCGUAGCUGGUCUGAGAGGAUGAUCAGCCACACUGGGACUGAGACACGGCCCAGACUCCUACGGGAGGCAGCAGUGGGGAAUAUUGGACAAUGGGGGCAACCCUGAUCCAGCAAUGCCGCGUGAGUGAUGAAGGCCUUAGGGUUGUAAAGCUCUUUCGCGCGCGACGAUGAUGACGGUAGCGCGAGAAGAAGCCCGGCUAACUUCGCGCCAGCAGCCGC
rnacentral:rRNA from 1 species